CCUACGGGGUGCAGCAGUGAGGAAUAUUGGUCAAUGGACGGAAGUCUGAACCAGCCAUGCCGCGUGCAGGAUGACGGCUCUAUGAGUUGUAAACUGCUUUUGUACGAGAAUAAUAGUUCUUACGUGUAGGGAUUUGAAUGUAUCGUACGAAUAAGGAUCGGCUAACUCCGUGCCAGCAGCCGCGGUAAUACGGAGGAUUCGAGCGUUAUCCGGAUUUAUUGGGUUUAAAGGGUGCGCAGGCGGGCCUUUAAGCCGGCGGUGAAAUCGCGGGGCUCAACCCCGCCGAGCCGUCGGAACUGGGGGCCUUGAGUGCGGCGGAGGCAUGCGGAAUGCGCGGUGUAGCGGUGAAAUGCAUAGAUAUCGCGCAGAACCCCGAUUGCGAAGGCAGCGUGCCGUGCCGCCACUGACGCUGAGGCACGAAAGCGCGGGGAUCGAACAGGAUUAGAUACCCUUGUAGUC
rnacentral:rRNA from 1 species